rnacentral:tRNA from 1 species
GGGGGCAUGGCGGAAUCGGUAGACGCAGCAGACUUAAAAUCUGCAGACCGCUAGGUUGUGGGGGUUCAAGUCCCCCUGCCCCCA